UUCGAGUUUUCCCUUUGGGGAUCUGAGGGAGUCCAACCUUGUAAAUGGAUUUUGCACUCCUCAAUCGAAAGCAGAUUUCCUUCUAAGUGUUUCUUCCUUCUGGAACCAUGUGAACAAAUCCAGGCCAGCCUGCUGGAGGGAGAAUGUCCAUGAGGAGCCAAAUGAUGACAUUGAGGCAUAACAGGUGAAGUAAUCUACCCUUUGUAACAGACAACACUUUGAGAGGAAGGAAUUGAGAGGUUGAGACAUCAUUUGGAGAAGAAAAUCAGCUCUGACACCGAAUUUGAAUUUCAAGAUGGCAGAAUGUUUAUGUGAAAUGAAAUAGAUGCAGAAUGAAGGGGAUUAUGAUCUUAGACUUGUGUAUUAAUGUUUUAAAGGGAAAUUGAAGACAUUUAUUUUGGGUAUAAAGCAGUUUAAGAGUUAAUUUUGCUCUUUCUCUUCUUCU